GAAUUCGAUUAGAGUUUGAUCAUGGCUCAGAACGUACGCUGGCGGCACGCCUAACACAUGCAAGUCGAACGAAGUAGCAAUACUUAGUGGCAGACGGGUGAGUAACAUGUAGGUAUCUACCCUUUGGCCUGGAAUAACACGAGGAAACUUGUGCUAAUAGCGGAUAAGUCUUUACGGAGAAAGCUUUAUGCACCAUUGGAUGAGCCUGCACUUGAUUAGUUUGUUGGUGGGGUAAUGGCCUACCAAGACUUUGAUCAAUAGCUGAUUUGAGAGGAUGAUCAGCCACAUUGGGACUGAGACACGGCCCAAACUCCUACGGGAGGCAGCAGUGGGGAAUCUUGCACAAUGGAGGAAACUCUGAUGCAGCGAUGCCGCGUGAGUGAAGAAGGCCUUUGGGUUGUAAAGCUCUUUCGUCGGGGAAGAAAAUGACUGUACCCGAAUAAGAAGGUCCGGCUAACUUCGUGCCAGCAGCCGCGGUAAUACGAAGGGACCUAGCGUAGUUCGGAAUUACUGGGCUUAAAGAGUUCGUAGGUGGUUGAAAAAGUUGGUGGUGAAAUCCCAGAGCUUAACUCUGGAACUGCCAUCAAAACUUUUCAGCUAGAGUAUGAUAGAGGAAAGCAGAAUUUCUAGUGUAGAGGUGAAAUUCGUAGAUAUUAGAAAGAAUACCAAUUGCGAAGGCAGCUUUCUGGAUCAUUACUGACACUGAGGAACGAAAGCAUGGGUAGCGAAGAGGAUUAGAUACCCUCGUAGUCCAUGCCGUAAACGAUGUGUGUUAGACGUUGGAAAUUUAUUUUCAGUGUCGCAGCGAAAGCGAUAAACACACCGCCUGGGGAGUACGACCGCAAGGUUAAAACUCAAAUGAAUUGACGGGGACCCGCACAAGUAGUGGAGCAUGUGGUUUAAUUCGAAGAUACGCGCAGAACCUUACCAACACUUGACAUGUUCGUCGCGACUCUAAGAGAUUAGAGUUUUCGGUUCGGCCGGACGAAACACAGGUGCUGCAUGGCUGUCGUCAGCUCGUGUCGUGAGAUGUUGGGUUAAGUCCCGCAACGAGCGCAACCCUCACUUUUAGUUGCCAUCAUUUAGUUGGGCACUCUGAAAGAACUGCCAGUGAUAAGCUGGAGGAAGGUGGGGAUGACGUCAAGUCCUCAUGGCCCUUACGUGUUGGGCUACACACGUGCUACAAUGGUAUCUACAACAGGAAGCAAGACGGCGACGUUAAGCAAAUCCUUAAAAGAUACCUCAGUUCGGAUUGCACUCUGCAACUCGAGUGCAUGAAGCAGGAAUUACUAGUAAUCGUGGAUCAGCGUGCCACGGUGAAUGCGUUCCCGGGUCUUGUAGA
rnacentral:rRNA from 1 species